AUUUGAUUUUUCCUUUCUAAGUGUAGUACUUUGCACUUGCCUUUACUGAAUUUCAUCUUGUUGAUUUCAGACCUGUUUUCUAAUUUGUCAGUCGUUUAGAAUUCUAGUCCUGCCCUCCUGCGAGCUUCCAAGCAUGGUGUCAACUACAAAUUUUAUAAGCAUCUCUCCACAGCAUUAUCCUUGUUAUUAAUGAAAAUAGUGAAUAGUUCCAGACGUAGGACUAACUCCUGUGGGACCCCCUAGAUUCAUCCCUACCAGUUUGACAGCAAACCAUUGAUAAUUACUCUUUGAGUAUGGUCUUUCAAUCAGUUGUAUACUCACCUGAUGAUAAUUUCAAAUGGACCACAUUUACCUGUUUUACUUAUGAGAAUGUCAUGUGGGUCUGUGUCAGAAGGCUUACUAAAAAUCAAGGUAUAUCAUGUCGUCUACUUCCUCUCAUCCACUAGGCCAGUAACCCUGUCAAAGAAGGAAAUUAGGUUGGUUUGGCGUGAUUUGCUAUUUCUUAUAACCCUACUAUCUUGUAGGUAUUUACAAAUUGAUUGGUUAAUAAUUUGUUCCAGAAUCUUUCCAUGCAUGCAAGUUAGGCUGACUGGUCCUCUUUGUUCUCCUUUUUAAAGAUAGGUACUGUUUUUGCCCUUCUCCAGUCUUUGAGUUAUUCACCCAGCAUCCAUGAAUUCUCAAAGAUGCUUGCUUAUGGUUACGAGGUUGCUUCAGCUGGUUCCAUAAUACCACAGGAUGACUUUCAUCAGGACCUAACAACUUAAAUAUGUCUAACUUAUCUAAAUGUGCUUUAACCUGUUCUUCUCUAUUUUGGCUUGCAUUCCUUCCCCUUUGUUGUUAGUAUUGUGACCCAGUACUCAACACUAUUAACCUUUUUAGUAAAGUCUGAAGUGAAAUAGGCAUUGAACACUCAGCCUUCUUGAUGUCAUCAGUCAUUAGCUCUGCUUCCCUGCUAAGUAGAGGACCUACACUUUCUUUUGGCUUUCUCUUGCUCUUCAUGGUUAAUCCUGUGUUAACCCUAACAAGUACGUAGGGCUUACAAGUAUCCUCUAUCCCACUCUCAUUUGAGUCUAGCUUCCAUCUAGUGUCUGACUAGUAAUGGAACACUGAUUCUGUAACCUGCUCUGGAAUAGAGGGUUUGACAAAACUGGCUUCCUCACCAUCAGUUGCUCUGCAACCUGUCCUCGAAUAACACAUUAAUUUCUGGCUAUGCUCAAGAACUCUACCUUCCAGCACACCACUGGCUUGGAUGCUGACCUGCAAAUGAGUCACUUACCUCUUUGUGCCCCUCAUCUUUCAUAGUCCCAUUUCAAUUUUACCCAUUUACCUACCUCAAGGGGUAUGUUAAAGAUAUUAAGUGCUCAGUAGCUAGGGAUUGUAAUUUUUUUUUUGUACGUCUGUAUAAGAACACAUAAUUAGUGGGAAUUUUCUCAUGAGGGUCCAGUGAGAAACGUUCUCUUGUUUUGAGAUCAUUUAUAUGAAUAGCGAUCAAAGAGCUGACUGUUGAAAUGUCAUCUAAUUCUUUCCCUGUGUUUGUAUUAAGCCUACAAGUCAUUGCUUAGAGGGAUCAGAAUAACACUGUUGAUGGUAUGCUGGCCAAAACACAUGUAUAUUUUCUUUAUUAAGUGGCUUAUACUGAGAGGUCAUCAGACUGGGAAUGGCAGUAAAUCCAUGACUUCCUGUCUUUGCAUGGGAGUCUGGAAUGGGGGUGAAAGGGGGUUGAAAUACCAUAAGCUUAAUUGCCAGAAAUGGGCAAGAAGAAAAGUUGUCCAUGUUACCUGUGCAUCUUUUGGAAGAUUUGGGGUGGUCUAGGAGGUUUACAGAGCACCUCUCUAAGGCAAGACUGUCAUAAUGAUGGAAUCUCCCAAGAGUGGAGAAGUUGGCUGAUUACCUCUUUCAAUUGGCUGUACAUAGUUGUUGAGCAUUUUUGUAGGUGGAACAUAUUUGUAGUGUGAACAGCACUGUAACUUUUUGUACAUUAAUAAAGCUACGGUUUUUGUGUUCUCUUCAAAGCUGUGAUAUAUCUGUAUGGCUUGGUGAAGUGCCGACUGGUUUUAGUUUUCUGCAGAAUAACAAAACCUUGCAUGCGUUUUGCUUUGCACUGCAACCUGAAAGUUAACAUGGAGGAGAGAGCUGUUCCCAUCGUGGGGGAAUUUUAAGUAAAAUUCAUUACUGCUUCAUAAAAAUAAGCAACAAACCCUGGCAUUCCUUUGGUCUUCAGAUACGACUGACACAUGCUUACAAUUUUUUUUUCACCCCAUUUGGUUUCUGUAAUGGCACUGGCACAAUGCAAAUCUUGAUGUCUGUCAGUGACACUCAGAAAUGAUAAUGCAAUUAAAAUUUAAUUUGGCAAACAACUUAGUUUUUCUAUAGUAUGAAAUGAAACUUCAGAGUAGUUCUGAGUAAAACUUUUAAUAUAGCAAUGAAACUGCCAGUCUUUUCCCUGUGCCCGUAUCUCUAUGAAUAAGGCUUUAUAGGCCUAAAUGUCAGUGCUCCAUAGUGAUUAAUAUGGUAGUAAAAUAAAUUACAUGGUAUUUCUUUGUAAAUGCUGUGGUAGCCUUUCACUUAGAGGCUGGUACAAGCUAAUGUUUUUGAUGGUUCUAGUCUUGGCUAGAACUCGCAUGUGGUAUUGAGAUAUUACAAUCGUUUUGAUAUACAUACGUGGAGAAAUGGGGUUCUCAAGGAGUUAACCCUUUGUUCCUCUGCUCCUUUUUCAAACUAGCAUGAUCACACCAUUCCCCUUAAAGAUUAGAUCAUUGGUAAUAAAUACUAAUGAAUGAUGCUCCAUUGGCUGUCAGGUGGCAUUAACAAAUUAUUAUUUUGUUUCCUUCUCUUUUGUCCCUCCCCAAAGGCCAAGUAGAGAAUUAAAAAAAACAAAUUGAGGGCAGUGUAAUGUAAACAGAGUGUAUCUUCAUUUACUUUAAUGGAGUUACUCCUGACUUGCACAGAUUUGUAAGGGCAAUCAGGCCUUAGAGAUGCUGUUAGGUCAUAUAGUUUGACCUUCUGCUGUGUCUAGGUGACAGUUCUGACAUCUCAAUAACGUAAUUGUCCCUCUAGCACAGGGAACAAAGGCCAACGGUGGCUUCAACUUUCCGGCUCAGGUCUUUGCCCAUGGUUAUGUUGUCAUUGGUUUAGGUGUAUUUAACCUUUUAAAUGGAACUUUCAGAAUGGAAAUACAUUACAUUUGAUUGUUUAACAGAAGUCUGAUUCCCUAGACAUAUUAGCUGCAUACAAAACAGAUGUGGGGAAAAGGACAGUGUUACUGGUUUAGGCCAGAAUUUUCAAACUGGAUGCUUACAUUUAGGUUCCUAAAUAAGAGGCUUGCCCCCACUUUUUUGCUGUUGUAGAGCACUGAAUCUUGUAAAAUUACCUGUAUUAAUGAACUCUAUGGAAUUAAUAUUAGCCUUUAGUAAAAUGCAGAAAGUGAGUUAGUUUCACAAGAAGAGGUAAGAAGUGGUAUGUGAAUAAAACUUAAUUCUUUUUGUUUCUACACAAGUCAAAUAAGUUUGUUACUCUUAUGAACAGCUGUAUUUUUUUUCUAUUUAUGAACAAGUCUGUCAUCUUAUCUGGUAAGAUGUACUUUCCCAUGGGUAUAUAGCAUUAAUUUUUUCUUGAGUGCUUGCAUUUACUUGGGAAAGUCUAGAAUAUAGUUUUUAAUGUCUGAAAUAAUACUUAAACUUACACAGAGCUUUUAUCUGUAGGUUUCAAAGUACUUUACGGAGAUGGGUAAGUAUCAAUGUAUAGGAAAGAGAAGGGGAAAACUGGAACAUCUUUGUUAGUGCAUAUAUGUAUGUGCUAUAUGUAUCACUUCUGAUUGUUGCUAACAAUUUAAUAGCUUGAUCUUCAAAGACAAUAUGCAAACAAAUCUUAUCCAGAGAUUUGGCUUUGUUCCUAUAGUCUGUUUUCCUGGAAACUACAUAGGGAAUCCAAGUUGUCCCAUAGUCCUUGUCUAUGGAACGAUUACUUGGAGGAUACUGAAUAUGGGUAUGCCAUGCCCUCGAUGAGGACCUGUGACAUUAUCCAGGAUACAAUCUGGACAGAUGGACAGCUGUGUCGCCUCAGAUCUCCAACCUGGGGUGUCUUUCAUGCUGCUGUUCCUGCAGUGAGCAUAGAGGAAUGGAGAGAGUUUAGACUAUACAGGAAAGCGCUUGGACUGACAGCUUUGGAAACAGACCUGUUCACAGAAAGCUGCGUCUGAAGCAGUGCAAGAUGUGCCAUGCCAUCCCCCCAGUGUAUCUUGUUGGACGGCAUACUGGAAUGAGAACUGGACAAAUGUCAACCAAGACAGCAGAGGGCUGCAACUUUGUUUUGAUGUUCACAAUUAUAGAAUGUACAUAUCCCUGACCUCAUAAUAACUGUGCUAUACUAUAAAUCUGGAGUUAAUCCAGACAGAUUAAGGGGCAGACUCCUGCUGUGGCGAUCUGCUGGGUGCAACAGAGGGAGUGCUGGGAGAACCAUGCUUGACCCUCUGAUUCUCUCCCUCAAUCCUGAUGCAAAUUAGAGUAACGCUUAGGCUACAGACUGCUGGAGUGUUAUCCCUUAAUAUUCUCCCCUUCCCUGAAAGUGAUGUUUCCUUUGCAUUGAGGCUGCAAAGAGGGAGAUACAGGAACUCUUUGCACAUUGAAGAUUCUCCCACAUGGGGAUUUGGCAGCAAGGGACUUGUGUGGAUUUGCACUCCCUGAGUGCUGCAAAGGCAGAGGUUAGGAGUAGAGAAUCUGCCCCUAGAACUUGAAAGGAUCCUAGUACAAUCGUGCUGUCAGAGCUAUGGCCUACUGGCCAUAAGUUAUAUAAAACUAUAUGUUGAGGUAACUAGGCAUUCCCAACUUUCCUUAUCAGUUUGAUCAAAUUACCAACAGUCAAUCACAACUUUGCCUAUUAGAGGAGCUGGAUCACUAGGUAAGAAAUACUCGGAAUAACAUUUUAGCAUUUUGUUUGGCUGCUCUAUGAAAUUAACCAUUUAGAAUUUGUCAAGCAAUGAAUGGAGAUUGAGGUGAUCAAGUUUGAACUGAUAUCUGCAAAGUGCAUUUUAUCAGAAUAAAAUAGCCUAGGGCAUAGGAAAAAGUUGUAAUGAACUCAGGACAUAAGCCUGCUCUUCCUUUUGCAACUUUUUUUUUUUAAAGGGAGAGUUCUUUUGGUAAAACCACCAGUGUUUGAAAGC